UGGUUCUGGCAUCGAUGAAGAACGCAGCGAAAUGCGAUAAGUAAUGUGAAUUGCAGAAUUCAGUGAAUCAUCGAAUCUUUGAACGCACAUUGCGCCCCUUGGUAUUCCGGGGGGCAUGCCUGUUCGAGCGUCAUUUCAACCCUCAAGCUCUGCUUGGUCUUGGGCACUGCUGGAAACAGCUUGCCUCAAAAUCAGUGGCGGUGCCAUUCGAGCUCUACGCGUAGUAAUAAACCCCUCGCGAUUGAGUCUUGGUGGAUGCUUGCCAGCAAACCUCAUUUUUUUCAGGUUGACCUCGGAUCAGGUAGGGAUACCCGCUGA
rnacentral:misc_RNA from 1 species